CACUCUCAAACACCCCCUUUGCCCGUAGCAUUCGCACAGCGUGUGCAUAUGCACAAUGGCCCAUUUUCAUGUCUGUGCGUAUGCACGGACGUUAAUGUGUAUGCACCCCCAAUUCACACCCCUCUGUUGGGAGCGCCCUCACAGUUGGUUCGUCUGCAUCUCCCUCAUCUCCCCUUCUGUUGUCUUUCCCCCUUCCCUGAGCCAAUGAAGCCCUUCCCCUUUCGUCUUCUCUGAGCCAUCCAACACCCACCAUCUUGCGUCCAUCACCGUUUACCCGCCACCACAACUAUCGUCAACUACCCCUCGCCCCCUUUCUUCCCUCCUCUUCUCUUUCAUUCUCUCCUUCCUCAAACACGCAAUCUCUUUGUUCCCCUUCACCUCAGCUGCAGCGCCACCCCUCCUCGCCAAACCAGAGGCCGAGUCGCAGUGUCCUUUCCCCUCUCUUCUUCCUCUCUCCCUGUCUCAACCUCACCUCUUCUUCUCUUCCCCUUCCCCGUUUCCCGUUCACACUUCUCCGCGAGCCCAGAACUCACCGCGCUAGCUCCUCCACGCCAUCGUCCACCAUCACCUUCACGUCAACCACCUCCAGCCACCGCCACCUUCUCAAAACCGCAACCAUCAGACCCUAUUGUCGCGUUUCCUCUUCUCCCUUACCAUCGCCUCCGUUGAAACCCAGAGCAACGGCGGCUAGCUUCCCUUCUUUCUCCCAUCUCUCUGACUGGCGAACUACCACCGCGAAUCACCCUAGCCUCCACUAUCAGCGAGCCGCAACCCUCUUCUCCUCUCUCCAUCUCACUCGCAAAACCACAGAAGCAAGCCCACUACCACAGCGCCGCCAGAAACCCUAAUCGCUAGCAAAUCGCCGCGACAACCAACCGUCACCGGCGUCGCCAACGCAACCCUCCACACACCACCUUUUUCUCCGUUCCCCCUUCACUGCUUAGAACAACAUAAUAGGGCAAGGCCCCUAUUUCUUUGCUGCGCUCCUCCUCCGCUGCUGCCAUUGGAGCAGCUCCACCACUAGGCCGGCCAAUUCUGCUGCUCCCCCACUCACUUUCAGUGCUUCUUCUUCCCCCUUCCCUGCUCCAAUUUUCUGCAUUCCCCUUCCCUGUUCUUCAAACAGCCGCUCUAUCCCCUAAUCCAUUAGCUGAAGGUAGAGGUAACACAGUGACGACUCCUUCCACUCCGCAUGAUCGUGAGCACCGAGGACGGUGCUACAUCUUAAGUGUGGGGAGGUUGUGCAUCUUCAGCAAGCGCAUUUUGGGUGACAAGCUUCAUUUUCGAACACUUUUAGUUUAGUUUCUUUUUAUGCUUUUUAGUUGUUUUGUAUAUAUUUUAUCUUUUUGAGAAACUUUUUACUUAGCUUAUUGCACUUUUUAAUUUUGUUUGUACAUAACUUAGUAUUAUAUAGUAGUUAUCCAUAUUUUGACA